CAGAGGGGGCAAGCGUUAUUCGGAAUUAUUGGGCGUAAAGGGCGCGUAGGCGGCUUUGCAAGUGACGGGUGAAAUCCCUCGGCUUAACCGAGGAACUGCCUGUCAGACUGCAUUGCUUGAGUCCGGGAGAGGUGAGUGGAAUUCCCAGUGUAGCGGUGAAAUGCGUAGAUAUUGGGAGGAACACCAGUGGCGAAGGCGGCUCACUGGACCGGAACUGACGCUGAGGCGCGAAAGCGUGGGGAGCAAACAGGAUUAGAUACCCUGGUAGUCCACGCCGUAAACGAUGAGUGCUUGGUGUAGCGGGUAUCGACCCCUGCUGUGCCGAAGUCAACACAUUAAGCACUCCGCCUGGGGAGUACGGUCGCAAGACUG
rnacentral:rRNA from 1 species